GGAGUGGGCAGUGCAGUCUCCACCCAGUCCCCUGGAGUUGUUGUCUGCAGGAGCCAGCUGCUAUGUGAUUCGUCCAGCUCUCUGAGAACUUCCUGCUGGAGUGACCACACCUACAACCCUGUGGUGCCCAGCUGGUACCAGCCUCAUCUGCCAGGCGUUCCUGCACUGUGACCUUGAACAUCUGACUAGUCCAGCCACCCCAGGUUUCCCAUGCAACCUGAUGUACGGUUCCCGGUCCCUGAUGUCCUCCUUGGCUAAACUGGGGGAAACAGAAACCUUACCAGAUGCCUGUGACCUAGGGCCUAGUGAGCACCAUGGAACUCGGCUUCUGAUGUCCCGUUUGCAGGACACUGAAAUUUCCAGCAGGAAUUGGCAUCAUCCUUUCUCAUUAUGCGACAUCUCUGAAAGGUCCUUGCUCAGAGGGAAAAAGAAACCCUUGAUCUUAGAGACAGAAGACGUGAGUGUCAAUCCAGAGAUGGGAGACAGAAAACGGGACCACAAAGCCUCAGGACAGACUUGGCCUCCUGGGCAGUGUCACCUAAGGCCUAGGUGCACCCCCGAUCCCCAGUGUCCUGGCCCACACAGGCUGCAUGACGCACUUCCUUCUCCAACACCGAUCCCAACCCGGAUCCUCCAGAAGUGGAGACCUUUUAAGAACCAUCAUGCACUGGGGUAGGGACAGGGAGGCGCAGCCUGGGCUCUGGACCGAUGUCUGCCACCUGAUCCCCGCGGCCCAGACUGAGACACUCAGCCAGAAGUGAGAGAGGUUGAGCUGAUAUUUUACUCAUGUGCAGAAUCCACACAGCUCCCGGUUUCUAUGAAAUAACUGCAUGGUAAUUCCUGUUCAUCUAGGACAGAAUGGUUUACAAAGCAAGACCCAGUCCUCCUGCACCCUGAGUGGGGUGAGUCUCUAGUGUCACAGAUGAGGAAACUGAGGCUCUGAGAGGCCCCAGGUCACCGUGGUGAGGAAAACAGCUUGGCCUGGGGUUUAGGUCCACAUUCAAGUGCCACGAGCCUUCUCCAGCUCUUUCCUGGUGGGUCUCUUCUGGGGUCUCCGUAUCUGUGGGCCUCUCUGCCCCACCACAGGCAGGUUUCCCAAAAGAAAGUCAUCAGCUCAACAGAACUUCCUGCCGAGUGAUGGGGCAAGACGGGCUGCUGGACCCCCGAGUAGAGGAGCCCGCCGGGCGGGCCCUGGAGGCUCCCCCGAGGAUGUGCUGUUGGCAGGUGUGAGAAGAGACUGAGGCCGAGGGAGCCCAAGGGUGGUCCUGAUGUCCCCACUCAGGCAGCCACAAUCGUUGCCAAGCACCAAGGAAGGUUCUGGAAACCGGGUGUGUGGCCUCCAGGGACUGCCACUCUGGCUGCU